AUGCAAUUCUGAGGUGAAGACUCUUUUUUGCAGUAUGCUCUGUUCCAAUCCCUCUGUCCAGUCUUGGACUGUCAUUGCUGCCUGCUGCAACUUGUUUUUGCAAGUGUCAAAUGUGUCUUUGAUUUUGGCAGCAUUAGCCCAAUGAUGUCAUUAGUGCAUUUAAGUGUGAUUUUCUAUUUAUGUGGUAGAACUGAUAGUGCCAAAAGCUUGCUAGAUUGUGAUUGUCAUUACCUUUAAUUUGGUUGUCUUUAAUGCUGUGAUGCUGGUAGUUGAUUUAUCUAGGUUGUUAAUUAGAAAGAUGCAGAAGUGCUGAAAGAUGCAAAGGCCUUGGUUGACAGAAAUUUGGUAAACAUCUUCAACCAAUUGCAGGCUGGUACGUUAAUGCUUGUUGAAUGAUUCAAUACAUUUUUCCUUCUCAAAUUAUUUCCUGAAUAUAAUUUUGAAUACAACAUAUAUCUUUUACAUUAGAGGGAUUCUCAUCUCGUUGGAUAUUCAGGUCCAUUUUCAUAAACAUGGAUGGCACAUUUACUUCACAUGGGUUCUUUUGUAAGACAUUUACUUAAAAAUAUUCAUUUCAAGCUUGGAUGCUCUACUUUUGAUAAUAAAGGUUUUGUUCUAUGCAUUGAUCUUCUUAUUUCUUCUACUAUAGUUAUUCUAUGAUUUCUUCUUUUACACCUUAUUUCAUGAUUAAAUUUUCAGGUUUCAAAGUUUAAAGAUCCUCGUGAUGCAUGUGCUGUAAUUGUUGCUGAAUCCUAUCAUCUUUUCUUCCAUGAUCCGGUUUAUGAGUCUCAUUGUUCCUAUUUGGCUAGUCAUGUAUUUUAUUUUAAGUAACCAUUUUGAAUUCCAUGCCAGAAAAGUGGGUCUCACAUUUCAACAAUCUAUUUAUUGGGCUGUUGAGUCUCACCGUGGAUGGAGAAUGCCCAAAAAAUCUCUCACAUUGGAUCUUUUUCAGUUGAAUAUGGACCAUUGUUCAAUUUCUCUUCUUAACUGCUUCUAUAGGCUACAAAUUGGUAGAUUAAGAUUGCCCUAUCAGUGGGAUUUUUAAGGCAUAGUCCAAUUGUUGAUGGGUAAAAUUGAUCAAAGGCUGAUAUGGGGCCUGAAGACCAGUGUCAGGAGGAGAUCGACUUGGCUUUGUUCAGCUUUAUGAAAAUGUGUCUAUCAAAAAUAUCCUUUAGCCUAGUUAGUGCGACAUGAUUGAUGUCUGAUAUAACUGCAUACUGGAGACAACAAAAGCCAUUGGCAUCUUCAUGCAGGACAACAAUCUUGAAGCAUCUGCCUCAUGGCAUACCUGAAGCAGUUAUUUCCAGGUCAUGGUUAUACAAAUUAGAGGAGUGAAGGAUUUAAAGAUACUUGAAAUUGAUCUGUCUGAUCAUCAGUGAAAGUUAGUGGGCCAUGCCAAAUACUAUUUUAGGUCUCACUAUUAUAAUGCUAUAAAUUUUUGGCCAACAGGGAAUAAAUUUGUUAGCAGGAGUGGAAGCAGUCAUAAGCCAUUAGUAGUGAAGGAUUUCCAGAUCCCUUGUGCUCAUGCACCUGCAUUGGCACCUCUUCCUCUAAGCUCAUCCUUAUUCCCAAGAUCUACUGCUGAAGAGUGACCUUGACUAAUAAUAGGAGGCGGCUAGGAGCUCGCUGUACCUUCAGACGAUCCGCACCCACAGAAAAUGAGGGGAGACUGUUUGUGAUGAGGGCACAAAAAAUUCCAGCACCGUUGCUUCUCCUUGUCGCUCAGCUAGCAAGAUGCGUUGGAUUUCUCUCUCGUAAAUACAUUACUUACUGCACAGCAUAAUCUUUUACGUGUAGAGGUUUGUUUUUGAGUCCCACCGUCAUUUUUGUAUUAUAUCUACACCUAUAUAAACAGUAAUAAUUGGACACCUACUAUUGAAAAUUUCUUAGGGCCACGUAAGGCUCUGAUCAAGUUUAUAUUUAUUUUUUUACUUCACCAAGAUCCGUCACAUUACGUUGAGGUUAAAUGGCAAAUAAACCUAACAGUAGACAUUAAGAAGGUUUCAACAUUAGUGGUUCAAUCUCGGCUACUUUUUUUUGGUGUGGUUAACUUGAGAUUUGGAUGGGACUCAUUUUUGAGCUUUCGCUCUAAGAAUGAUCUGUAAAAAUUAAUGGUCAGUGUGGAUCUAAAAGUCAUGUUGUGUAUCACGCAAUCUAUUUGGAGAGAAAUCCCGCGUGUCUUGUUAGCUGGAGUCAUCCGCACAGACUAUCCUCACUCACAAUAAAAAUAUCAAGGUUAGCCGGUCCUAACUUUAUUAGUUACCGACGAG